rnacentral:misc_RNA from 1 species
UUGUGGAGGAGGACGCCGAAGGUGGGGCUAAUGACUGGGGUGAAGUCGUAACAAGGUAGCCGUACCGGAAGGUGCGGCUGGAUCACCUCCUAACAGGGAGACAACAAAAUGUUUAAUAUUAUUUUGUCACCUUAGGUCGAUCGGUAUCUCACGUUCUUAUUUAUUAAGGAUUUCAAGUCCUAAGUUUUUUCUAGGUCACACCCAUUACUUUUCCUGGGCCAUUAGCUCAGGUGGUUAGAGCGCACCCCUGAUAAGGGUGAGGUCCCUGGUUCAAGUCCAGGAUGGCCCAUAUCUCUAUGUUGGGGGUAUAGCUCAGUUGGUAGAGCGCCUGCUUUGCAAGCAGGAUGUCAGCGGUUCGAGUCCGCUUACCUCCACUGAUUACCACCUCUUGCAUAAUCUAUAGAAAGGAAAUGUUUUGAGUUAUGAUCAAACCCUGAACGAAUCUAGCUUCUUAAUUAAAUUAUUAAGAUGCUGGACUCAUUGAAUUUAUUUCAUUGUUUUCAGAGAACCUUGACAACUGCAUAGAUUAUUUUAAAGACAAUAAGCAUCUUUAAUGAUGCAGAUUUAUUAUUUGUGCGAAUGCAUUAAUAACAAUUCUAUUAAGCUGAUGCUUCAAUUUUGAAGUUAUUGGUCAAGCUACAA